AGUGAACGCUGGCGGCGUGCUUAACACAUGCAAGUCGAACGAGAACGGAUUAUAGCUUGCUAUAAUUGUCAGCUAUGUGGCGCACGGGUGAGUAAUGUAUAGGUAAUAUGCCUCUUACUAAGGGAUAACAAAUGGAAACGUUUGCUAAUACCUUAUACUCCUUAUUAACAGAAGUUAAUAAGGGAAAGAUUUAUUGGUAAGAGAUUAGCCUGUAUUGUAUCAGUUAGUUGGUGGGGUAAUGGCUUACCAAGACUAUGACACAUAACUGGUUUGAGAGGAUGAGCAGUCACACUGGAACUGAGACACGGUCCAGACUCCUACGGGAGGCAGCAGUGGGGAAUAUUGCACAAUGGACGAAAAUCUGAUGCAGCAACGCCGCGUGGAGGAUGACACAUUUCGGUGCGUAAACUCCUUUUAUAUGAGAAGAUAAUGACGGUAUUAUAUGAAUAAGCACCGGCUAACUCCGUGCCAGCCGCCGCGGUAA
rnacentral:rRNA from 1 species